GUCACUUCCUGGCUGGGUCCUCAAGUUGUUGAUUAUCCAUGAGCUUGUUCUCUUUACUAUGACAAGAAUGCUGCCAAUAUACCUGUGGGUAAAAAUUAUGAAAAUAUGAAGAGAGGUAACUGGUCUUCGAAGACUGACUACUUGCUCUCUGUGAUCAGCUGUGCUGUGCGUCUGGGCAAUGUCUGGAGAUUUCUUUACCUGGCUUACAAAAAUGGAGGAGGUUUCUAUUCAGUAUCUCUGCGAGACAACACAAUGAAGAUGGUCACGGAAACAAUUGGCUAUUUUCCCACUGACAGAUCAACAGAAUGAAAUAUGAAUAAUAUCUCCAACAGAUGUGAACAUUGUACCUUUGGGAAUCCUGCUGCAUUUAUCAUCUGCUCCCCAUCAACUGAAGCAGUCUGUCCAUGGUAGGGGUGAUUGGAAGGAAGCAAACAAGUAAUACAGACUGUAGGUGAGGAUGCAGAAGUGAUUGAUCCUUGUGUUACCAUAUUUAUACCCACACCUUAAAGAAGGAACAUAAAUUUAAAUUGAAACUGCAAUAAAUGCCUUCACAUAAUUUCUGUUUGCAGACACCCAACCUUGUCUCAUUGCUAGUCACCAUUGUAAUUUUUGCAGUUUGAAUCACAGAAUUCCUACAGUGUGGAAACAGGCCAUUCAGCCCAUCGAGUCCACAUCAACCCUCUGAAGAGCAUC